rnacentral:rRNA from 1 species
AUGAAGAGAUGUGAUGAUCUAAUGAACCAGAAGCAAUCCAUUGGAGCUGUCUUACACAAGGGAACAAAGAAAUCCAAUAUAGAUGAUGUGGUUGUUGUUGCUUUGAAGAAUGCUCCUCAGAAUUUAAAGUUGGUUUCUUCGACUAUUCAGAAAGAUAUUGUGAAAGCUUGUGCGAUAGAAAUAGUCAAAGCAAUCAUAGAAGUUCUGGGAGAUGAAUACUUUGCUAUAUUGGUUGAUGAAGAUAUGCUUAGAGAGAAACAAGCAAAAAGAGUCCAGACGGCACUGCAGAAUGGAUAA